AAAGGAGAGCCAGCAGAAAAGGGUAAUUAAUAUCCAGGACCAGUUUCAGGAUACUGUGAAGAGUCUUCAAGCCAAAAGUGAAAAGCAAUAUCUGAUGCUGGAGGAAAGAAACAAGGAGUUAACUAAGGAAUAUAGUCACCUAAAAGAGAGUAUUAAUCAGUAUGAAAAUGAGGCAAUGGAAAGAGAAGUGGUUGUGGAACAACUUCAACAAGAACUGGCUGAUUCCCUAAAAAAGCAGUCGCUGUCUGAGGCUUCAUUGGAACUCAUGUUACGUGAUUGUGCUAAAUUAGAAGAUGAGAGACAGGAUUUAAAGAAGAAAGUACAUCAAAUGACAAGUAAAUUGCAAGAAGCACAAGAACUACAUAUAGAAGCUCUGAAGUGUGCUGAGGAGACCCAGGAUCACAUGCAAAAGCUUGAAAUUCAAACUGCCAAGUUAAAAGUGAUGAACAAAAAGCAAGUUGCCAAAACUGAACAGCUUCGGAGAAACUCACUAAGUACAAGUUUGUCUGAGCAAGAAAAGGAAGAAUUACAGCAACUUAUGGAGUUAAAACAGUUUCUGGAAAGCCAGUUGGAUCGGCAAAAGAAGAAAAAUGAUGGAUUAGAAAAAGAGAUUACUGGGUAAAAUUUUAAUAUUUUAAAUCAUUUCAAUGAUUAAUUAUUAUUAAAACCUAGAAACAAGCACAUUUUAUAUAUGCAUUUUCAUAAUUAAAGAAAUUUCCCUUUUG
rnacentral:lncRNA from 1 species